AUUGAACGCUGGCGGCGUGCCUAACACAUGCAAGUCGAGCGGCAGCGCGGGAGCAAUCCUGGCGGCGAGCGGCGAACGGGUGAGUAAUGCUUCGGAAUCUGCCCAUGUAGUGGGGAAUAACCAGCCGAAAGGUUGGCUAAUACCGCAUACGACCUACGGGUGAAAGCAGGGGAUCGUAAGACCUUGCGCUAUUGGAUGAGCCGAAGUCGGAUUAGCUUGUUGGGAGGUAACGGCUCACCAAGGCGACAAUCCGUAGCUGGUCUGAGAGGACGACCAGCCACACUGGGACUGAGACACGGCCCAGACUCCUACGGGAGGCAGCAGUGGGGAAUAUUGGACAAUGGGGGCAACCCUGAUCCAGCGACGCCGCGUGUGUGAAGAAGGCCU
rnacentral:rRNA from 1 species